UGGUGGGGUAGGGAAGUUAGCCGCGGUAUGACGAUGAGUUAUACCGAGGAAAGUCCCGGCUCUAGGUAAAAAGGGUGCUGGGGAAAUCCCAGGGAAAACGGAAAGUGCCACAGAAACCAGACUACGUGCAUACGCACGUACAGGUGAAACCGUGGGGUAAAAGCCCACGAUCUCUGGUAGCAAUACCAGAGAUGGUAAACCCUACCCUGAGCAAAGUGGGUUACCACUGCGAAAAGUAUAGAGUAAUCUAUACUUAAGAUAAAUGGCUAACCUUAGACAGAACCGGGCUUACCUACCUCACCAAAUC
rnacentral:RNase_P_RNA from 1 species